rnacentral:rRNA from 1 species
ACGGAAGGCAGCAGUGGGGAAUAUUGGGCAAUGGGCGCAAGCCUGACCCAGCGACGCCGCGUGAGUGAUGAAGUAUUUCGGUAUGUAAAGCUCUUUAAGCAGGGAAGAUAAUGACGGUACCUGCAGAAUAAGCACCGGCUAAAUACGUGCCAGCAGCCGCGGUAAUACGUAUGGUGCAAGCGUUAUCCGGAUUUACUGGGUGUAAAGGGAGCGUAGGUGGUUUGGCAAGCCAGAAGUGAAACCCCGGGGCUCAACUCCGUGGAUUCUUUUGGAACUGUUGGACUAGAGUGCAGGAGGGGUAAGAGGAAUUCCCAGUGUAGCGGUGAAAUGCGUAGAUAUUGGGAGGAACACCAGCGGCGAAGGCGACUUACUGGACUGUAACUGACACUGAAGUACGAAAGCGUGGGGAGCAAACAGGAUUAGAUACCCUGGUA